rnacentral:rRNA from 1 species
UUUAGAUCCUGGCUCAGGAUGAACGCUGGCGGCAUGCCUAAUACAUGCAAGUCGAACGAGAGACCUUCGGGUCUCUAGUGGCGAACGGGUGAGUAACACGUAGGGAACCUGCCCGCGCACCGGGAAUACGCUCUGGAAACGGAGAACAAAUCCCGAUGUACAGGAAGGAGGCAUCUUCUUUCUGUGAAACAUCCUUUAGGGGGAUGGGGCGCGGAUGGACCUGCGGUGCAUUAGUUGGUUGGCGGGGUAAAGGCCCACCAAGACGAUGAUGCAUAGCCGGCCUGAGAGGGCGGACGGCCACAUUGGGACUGAGACACGGCCCAGACUCCUGCGGGAGGCAGCAGUAGGGAAUUUUCGUCAAUGGGCGCAAGCCUGAACGAGCGAUGCCGCGUGAGUGAAGAAGGCCUUCGGGUCGUAAAGCUCUGUUGCGGGGGAAAAAAGGCAGCAUCAGGAAAUGGGUGCUGACUGAUGGUGCCCCGCCAGAAAGUCACGGCUAACUACGUG